rnacentral:rRNA from 1 species
GUCUACAGCCACGCUACCCUGAACAAGCCUGAUCCCGUCUGAUCUCAGAAGCUAAGUAGAUUUGGGCCUGAUUAGUACUUGGAUGGGAGACCACGUAGGAAGACCAGGUGCUGUAGGCG